CCGCUCGCGAGCAAACAGCCGCGCGGGGGCACCGCGGGCGCGCCGGCAGCCCCGUGCACGGUCCCACGCGAAGCUCCCAGACGGACACACACGCACGCACACGCACACACAUGCACGCACGACUGCCUCGGGGAAGUUCCAGGAUCCGAUUUGAAUGGCUGCCCGGCCCUCCCCCGCUGGCACCCCCCUGCCUGCCGAGGGGAGCAGAAGGGGCCAGCCUGUUCCUAUUAAAAGAAAAGGGGGAUGGGGCGGUGCGGAGUUUUUGGAGGUUUUCCUUUUUUAAGGAAAUGUCUCAGGGGAUUUCCUUCCCUCCGCUCCUCUUCCUCUCUUCCUCCCAUUCCUCUGCCUCCACACCCCCUUCCCCCUCCCGGUCCCUAUGAGUCAAACUUCAGCAAUGUGCCCAGUGUCCCCCAGUGCAUUACGGCGGAUCACAGAAAUGUUCCAGUCUGUGAGUCGGAAUGCAGCCGCCUCCAGCCCUCCCUCAGCUAAUAAACUCGGUGCAGGGAUGGCUCCGCGCGCGCACGCACCGCUUUAGGCUGGAGAGGUCAGAUUCAGGGGUCAGGGGCUGAGGACCUCCCCAUUGUGCUCCUGGCCUGGGCCAUCGGCCGGUCGGCCUCCCGCAGUCUGCUGGGUCAGAAAGCUCCCGGGACUUGGGGAGGUCUCUGACCCCGGAGCACUGGGUUCGCCUGCAGUGUGAGGUCCAUUGGACACCAGCGAACAGCUUCCUUCCGAGCCCAUCCUACUCCCUCAAUUCUAGGAACCCCCACAGUCUCUACAGGGGGAAAACUGAGGCAGACCCCGGUUAGAAGCGAGAGUCCACAGGGGCGCAGAAGGGCUCGGCCAUGCUGAAGCAACGUUCAAGAAUGGAUGCCCAGCUUGAGUGCUCCAGCCGUGGUCUAGCUAUGCCUGCACCACGGCUGUGUUUCUUGUAGUGUAUCGCGCAAGAUUCAGGCUGAGUUCAGGUGAGAUAGAGUGCGUGGCCUUCCAGGACCAGCCUCCAGCUGAACACCUCAGUGUACCCUUCUGCCCCGUGACUACCCAUGUGACUCUGAAGAUGCCCGCUCUGUCAGCCCAGAACAGAACAAUGGAGAAGCCGUGCCAGGGCCUCCUGCUCCAGUGUAGCCUGGCUUCUUGAAGUCCCUGUUGAUAUAUGCGUGUCACUGUAGACGGCGCGUUUCCUGCCUCAUUGACCCCAGGCCCGUGGCCCCAUCGUCAUGCCUCUGUUGCCUUGCAUAGGCAGGAUCCAGGAACCGCCUCCCAGAGUGCUGGGGUUACAGGUGCGCACCACAACGCCCGGCUCUGGAUCAGACCUUUCCAGUUCUCCAUUUUGUAAUAGAAAUAUUUUGGCUGUUCUGAAGUCAUACAAAUAAUAUAUGUAAAGGUUUGCACCACAGCUUUGUAUUCUGUUUUGUUUUUAACAUCCCUUGGACUCUUGAAAGAAGUAUCACUGUGA